UCAGGAUGAACGCUGGCGGCGUGCUUAACACAUGCAAGUCGAACGAUGAUCCCAGCUUGCUGGGGGAUUAGUGGCGAACGGGUGAGUAACACGUGAGUAACCUGCCCUUGACUCUGGGAUAAGCCUGGGAAACUGGGUCUAAUACCGGAUAUGACUCCUCAUCGCAUGGUGGGGGGUGGAAAGCUUUUGUGGUUUUGGAUGGACUCGCGGCCUAUCAGCUUGUUGGUGGGGUAAUGGCCUACCAAGGCGACGACGGGUAGCCGGCCUGAGAGGGUGACCGGCCACACUGGGACUGAGACACGGCCCAGACUCCUACGGGAGGCAGCAGUGGGGAAUAUUGCACAAUGGGCGCAAGCCUGAUGCAGCGACGCCGCGUGAGGGAUGACGGCCUUCGGGUUGUAAACCUCUUUCAGUAGGGAAGAAGCGUAAGUGACGGUACCUGCA
rnacentral:rRNA from 1 species